rnacentral:rRNA from 1 species
AACGAACGCUGGCGGCAGGCCUAACACAUGCAAGUCGAGCGGACAUCUUCGGAUGUUAGCGGCGGACGGGUGUGUAACGCGUGGGAACGUGCCCUUUGCUUCGGAAUAGCCUCGGGAAACUGGGAGUAAUACCGGAUGUACCCUUUGGGGGAAAGAUUUAUCGGCAAAGGAUCGGCCCGCGUUGGAUUAGGUAGUUGGUGGGGUAAUGGCCUACCAAGCCGACGAUCCAUAGCUGGUUUGAGAGGAUGAUCAGCCACACUGGGACUGAGACACGGCCCAGACUCCUACGGGAGGCAGCAGUGGGGAAUCUUAGACAAUGGGGGAAACCCUGAUCUAGCCAUGCCGCGUGAGCGAUGAAGGCCUUAGGGUUGUAAAGCUCUUUCACCGGGGAAGAUAAUGACGGUACCCGGAGAAGAAGCCCCGGCUAACUCCGUG